AUACGGAGGGUGCAAGCGUUACUCGGAAUCACUGGGCGUAAAGCGCGCGCAGGCGGGCUGAUAAGUUGGAUGUGAAAGCCUACGGCUCAACCGUAGAACUGCAUCCAAAACUGUCAGUCUAGAGUCUGGGAGGGGAAGAUGGAAUUAGUUGUGUAGGGGUAAACUCCGUAGAGAUAACUAGGAAUACCAAAAGCGAAGGCGAUCUUCUGGAACAGUACUGACGCUGAGGCGCGAAAGCGUGGGGAGCAAACAGGAUUAGAAACCCUAGUAGUCC
rnacentral:rRNA from 1 species